AGCGAACGCUGGCGGCAGGCUUAACACAUGCAAGUCGAGCGGGCAUCUUCGGAUGUCAGCGGCAGACGGGUGAGUAACACGUGGGAACGUACCCUUCGGUUCGGAACAACUCUGGGAAACUGGAGCUAAUACCGGAUACGCCCUUAUGGGGAAAGGUUUACUGCCGAAGGAUCGGCCCGCGUCUGAUUAGCUAGUUGGUGGGGUAACGGCCUACCAAGGCGACGAUCAGUAGCUGGUCUGAGAGGAUGAUCAGCCACACUGGGGCUGAGACACGGCCCAGACUCCUACGGGAGGCAGCAGUGGGGAAUAUUGGACAAUGGGCGCAAGCCUGAUCCAGCCAUGCCGCGUGAGUGAUGAAGGCCUUAGGGUUGUAAAGCUCUUUUGUCCGGGACGAUAAUGACGGUACCGGAAGAAUAAGCCCCGGCUAACUUCGUG
rnacentral:rRNA from 1 species